AUCCCUUAAAGUUUGUCGUAGUCCGGAUUGGAGUCUGCAACUCGACUCCAUGAAGUCGGAAUCGCUAGUAAUCGUGGAUCAGAAUGCCACGGUGAAUACGUUCCCGGGCCUUGUACACACCGCCCGUCACACCAUGGGAGUGGGCUGCACCAGAAGUAGAUAGCUUAACCUUCGGGAGGGCGUUUACCACGGUGUGGUUCAUGACUGGGGUGAAGUCGUAACAAGGUAGCCCUAGGGGAACCUGGGGCUGGAUCACCUCCUUACUGA
rnacentral:rRNA from 1 species